UUGGGCCUACGGGAGGCAGCAGUGAGGAAUAUUGGUCAAUGGGCGAGAGCCUGAACCAGCCAAGUCGCGUGAAGGAUGACGGCCCUACGGGUUGUAAACUUCUUUUGUCAGGGAGCAAUUGGGUCCACGCGUGGGCUUAGCGAGAGUACCUGAAGAAAAAGCAUCGGCUAACUCCGUGCCAGCAGCCGCGGUAAUACGGAGGAUGCGAGCGUUAUCCGGAUUUAUUGGGUUUAAAGGGUGCGUAGGCGGUCCGUUAAGUCAGCGGUAAAAUUGCGGGGCUCAACCCUGUCGAGCCGUUGAAACUG
rnacentral:rRNA from 1 species